CCCGCUCAGAAACUCAAAUGAAUUGACGGGGCCCGGCACAAGCGGUGGAGUAUGUGGUUUAAUUCGAUGCAACGCGAAGAACCUUACCUGGUCUUGACAUCCCGGAGACCCUUAGGAAACUAGGGGGUGCUUCCAUCUGGAAGAAUCUGGAGACAGGUGCUGCAUGGCUGUCGUCAGCUCGUGUCGUGAGAUGUUGGGUUAAGUCCCGCAACGAGCGCAACCCUUGCCUUUAGUUGCCAGCAGUUCGGCUGGGCACUCUAAAGGGACUGCCGGUGUUAAACCGGAGGAAGGUGGGGAUGACGUCAAGUCCUCAUGGCCUUUAUGACCAGGGCUACACACGUACUACAAUGGCCGAUACAAAGGGCAGCGACACUGCGAGGUGAAGCCAAUCCCGUAAAAUCGGUCUCAGUCCGGAUUGGAGUCUGCAACUCGACUCCAUGAAGUUGGAAUCGCUAGUAAUCGUGGAUCAGCAUGCCACGGUGAAUACGUUCCCGGGCCUU
rnacentral:rRNA from 1 species